rnacentral:lncRNA from 1 species
ACAGUUGGAGCCCUUCUGAAUGUCCGUUUGGGCUCAAAUUUGACAGGCAAGCUCGGUUUAACGUACUGAGUAAGAAUAUAUUUUAAGUUUUCAGUUUCGACCCCUUUUGGUCACCGAAAACUGUACCGAACUGUAAUCUUUAUUAGAUAGGUGUCGGAUUUUAUUUCUCACUCUACGGGUGUCAGAAAAAUAUGAAACUUUAAAUCUAGCCUCAUAAAAAUAUUUCUGACUUAUCCUCCAAUUUUCAUAAUUUUCUGAGACUAUGCAUUUUCUGCUAACUUAUCUGUCCCGUUUCCAACAGAAAAUUCUAGAUCUUCUGUUUUCAUUCCGAUUUCAGCAUAAGUCAUUUUUGACUUAUAUUUUACUUCUAUAAAUUCAAUAAAAAUAGUUUCUCACACUAUUUUUAUUUAUUUUUAUUUUUAUACCAAAAUCUGGUAUGUUACAAAAACUGUCUGUGUACCGGUACACAGGCCACCGUACCGGUACAACCAUCAACCCCGUAUCGGU